AUUCAAAACGAGAGAAGCCCUUUAAAGUUUGAAAGAGGGUAGAAGGCUUCAUUAUAGAUUUCCAGAUGAAGCAAGUGAAAGCGCGGUGGGGAAAAUAAGAGUAUCAGGAAGCAAAAUGAAACCUCAAUGGUUGCUUCCAUGGGGACUGUUUUCACAUAUUCGAGGCAAAAGAGACUUGGGUGUGUCUGUUUCAUCCCAAGGACUACUUCAGAAUUAUCAGCACUGGCACAAACAUUCACUCAGUCACAACAGAGCAAUGCAAUACAAUGAAGUGGCAGCAGCACAAAGCACUGGUCAGUUACAACCACCUACGAAUUCCUCUAGAUUAUCAAAAGUUUUUCAUCUCAACAAAUGCAAAACCAUUUCCGCAUCUAAUUCCAUGGCCCUACCCAAUCUAAGAUCUCUUAGCUCAGAAGAUCAGGAAAUUAUCAAUAAAAUCUACAAGACCCUUACAGAAAAUGAUGAUCUCGAAAUGGGUCCAGAAGUAAGGCUUUCUCAUGUUGUUCAAGUCCUGAUAAGACUUCAAACACACCCUGAAUUAGCCCUGAAAAUUUUCAACUCUAUAGAAAUUCAACUGAAAUUGAAGCCUGAUAUUCAGUCAUUUUGUAUUGCGAUACAUAUACUAACAAAGGCCAGAAUGCCUACAUAUGCUCAAGAGCUUCUGCAACAAGUUAUACAUGCAGAUUUUGGGGCUACCCAGUUAAUUUUUGAUACCCUUGUUGCCACUUACAGGGCUUGCAAUUCCACUCCAUUUGUCUUUGAUUUGUUGAUCAAGACAUUAGUACAAUCUGAACUGGUUGGAAGUGCAGUUGAGAUCUUUAGAUUGAUUAAAAAAUAUGGGUUCAUCCCUGAAAUUGAGACCUGCAAUAGUCUCCUUAGUGCUCUGUCGAAGGAAAACCAAGGGGAAACUCUUUGGAUAAUUUAUGCAGAAAUGCUUGGGCUAAAUAUUGUUUCCAAUACAUACACAUUUAAUAUAAUGAUUAAUGCUCUGUGCAAGGAAGGAAAAUUAAAGAAAGCAAGAGAGUUUUUGAAGGAUAUGGAGAUCAUGGGAUGCAAACCUACGGUUGUAUCAUAUAACUCUGUUAUUCAGAGCUUUUGCCAAAAAGGUAAGGCGGAUGAAGGUCUUAAGUUGCUUCUUUUAAUGACUACUAAGGACAUUUUUCCUGAUGUUUAUAGUUAUAGUUCCAUCAUCAAAGGAUUGUGUAAGGAAGGGAGAGUUGAAGAGGCAAGUGGGUAUUUGUCUCAAAUGAUGGAGAAGGGAUUGGCACCAAACAAUGCCAUCUACAAUACACUCAUAAAUGGUUACUGUAUCAAAGGGGAUUCUAAAAAGGCUUUUGAACUUCAAGAUGAAAUGCUUCAAAGAGGAAUAAGACCCAGCGUUUGCACUUAUAAUCCUCUUAUUCAUGCACUCUUUUCUGAGGGAAAAGUUGAAGAAGCCGAAAAUCUUCUGUAUGAAAUGCUGGAGAUGGAUUUGGCUCCUGACGAAAUCACCUACAAUAUUGCAAUCAAUGGCUAUUGCAAAGAAGGGAAACUAGAUGAAGCAUUUAAGCUUCAUGCAGAAAUGUGGGAAAAAGGUAUACUUCCGUCUAUUGUCACUUACACCUCUCUCAUCUCCGGACUCUGCAAGGGAGGUAAGUUGUCGGAUGCAGACUGGUUGUUCCAAAAGAUUACUGAAUGGGGUUUGGUCCCUGAGAAAAUUACGUACAAUACUUUGAUUGAUGGACACUGUAAUAGAGGGAACAUUCAACGGGCCUUAGAGCUGAAGCAUGAGAUGGACCAGAAAAAUAUUCCUGUUGACGAUGUUACAUAUAAUACACUUAUUUGUGGUCUUUGCCGGAAUGGAAAAGCAGAGGCAGCACAACAAAUUCUCAAAGAAAUGCAGAGAAGGGGUCUAGAACCCGAUCUUGUUACAUAUCGUACACUUAUUGGAGGCUACAACAAGAAAGGAAAAGAGAUGGAGAAGAGGCAGCAGAAAUUUUGAAAGAAAUAGUAAAAAGUUUCAAUACUCACAUCUCAAUGAUACAGGGGCUCUUGGGAAAGACAACUUACAUGAGAUUCUCAGUGUGCAACAUUCAUUGAAUAUUCAAGAUCAGCAUGUGCAUUGUUGUUCACAGCAUCUUAAGGUGACGCUCUGCUUUUGCAUUUAGUUAUAACAGUAACACAACUGAAAUUUGAAGCAUAUGACUUUUCUGUGCUGCAUUAGGUGCUCAUGGUUCUGGUUAAUGACAUUGCCUUCUUGGAGUUUUGAAUGUUUUUUCGGUGGACAACAGAAGUUUUGCCUCAUUUUUGUAAAGAGAUGAAGAACUGCUCUUUAUCAUUAGAAAUGGUAUAUCAAUUUGAAACAUCAACUUUUGACCAGGAAACAGGUUCUGUGCGUAUCCUCAUAGUACACAAUAUUUUGGUGGAACCUGGUUUUCUAUAGUUACAAUAAUGAAGAGAAUUUGAGAACCAGAACAUGAUGUGCCAAAUUAACAAUGUCUCUAUAGAAUCCAGAUUUUGAGCCAUACAAUAAAAAGCAAUCUUAUUUUUA